UGAACUGGUCGUUGGCUAAAGAGGGAAACAGAAGCUGAGGUCCAUAAAAAUCUACAAUGCGUCUGAACAUGUCCUCCUCCGCCUCCGCCUCCGCUCUCCCCCUCCCAUUCUCCACCGCCACUUUCACUCACCACCACAACCACCGCGAAUUCUCUUCUUCUCUACUCCCUAUCUCCGCGUCGCCGCUAAACGCCUCCGAACAAUGCACUUCCGGGGCCUACCCGGUUCUCCGGCACGACGAGCAGCAGAAAUCUCCCCCCAAAGCCAAAACGAUUCGGUACCGCCUGAGUCAGCUCUGCCGCGAAGGCCAGAUCAACCUCGCCUGCCAGCUGUUCGACGAAAUUCCUCAACCAACUACUGUGCUCUGGAACACAAUUAUCAUUGGGUUCAUCUGUAACGACUUCCCCGACGAAGCCGUCAUGUUCUAUUCCCGCAUGAAGCGCUCGGGGUUGUCAUACAGUUGUGAUUCCUAUACUUACUCUUCUGCACUCAAAGCCUGUGCCGAAACGAAGCGCCUUAGGAUAGGUAAAUCCGUGCACGCUCAUAUCAUACGUUCGGAUAUUCACCCGAGCAGAAUUGUAUACAAUUCUCUCUUGAACAUGUACGCCACUUGUCUGAGCUCAGAAAAGCACCGUGAUCAUGAUUUAGUAGAAAGGGUGUUUAAUACAAUGCGUAAUCGGAACGUGGUUGCUUGGAAUACUAUGUUUUCCUGGUAUACGAAAACUGAGAGAUUCCUAGAAGCGGUAAGACAUUUUGUUAUGAUGCUGAAGAUGGGCAUUAAACCAACUGUUAUUAGUUUCGUGAACAUAUUUCCUUCUAUUUCUGCACUGGGGGACAUUAGGUUUGCUGAUGUUUUGUAUGGGACUCUUGUAAAAUUAGGUAGUGAUUAUGUAAAUAAUAUGUAUGUUGUGAGUGCGGCUAUUUUAAUGUAUGCUGAGCUUGGAUGCCUUGACACUGCAAAGAGUAUAUUUGACUCCAGUUUUGACAGAAAUAUAGAGAUAUGGAACUCUAUGAUUAGCGCAUAUGUUCAGAAUAAUUACCCUCUAGAAGCACUACAUCUCUUUCUUGAUGCUUUGGAAGCUGAAGAUGUGCCUUCAUUUGAUGAUGUAACUUUUCUUUCAAUGCUUACAGCAGCUUCGCAGUUGUGUCAUUUGAAGUGUACUCAACAGCUACAUUCAUAUUUGAUCAAGAGCUCUCUUGUUUCGCAUGUUAUUCUGCAAAACUCCAUGAUUGCCACAUAUUCUCGGUGUAACUGCAUUGGUGAUUCAUUUAAAGUCUUUAUUCAAAUGAAGGAAAGAGAUGUCAUUUCCUGGAACACAAUGCUUUCUGCUUUUGUGCAGAAUGGACAUGAUGUUGAAGGUUUGAUGCUCAUGUAUGAGAUGCAAAAGCAAGGGUUUGCUAUUGAUUUCAUUACACUUACUGCUCUACUUUCUGCAGCUUCAAAUCUCAGGGAUGAGCAAAUUGGUAAGCAGAGCCAUGCUUAUCUUCUUAGACAUAAUAUUCAAUUUGAAGGGAUGGAGAGCUACUUAAUAGAUAUGUAUGCUAAGUCCAGCAUGAUCAAGGCAGCACAAGCAAUAUUUGAAGUAAGCUCCUCCAAUAAUAGAGAUCAGGUCACAUGGAAUGCUAUGAUAGCAGGUAACACACAAAAUGGGUUAAUUGAGCAGGCAUUUAUUGUCUUCAGGCAGAUGGUUGAGCAGAACAUGGCUCCAAAUGCUGUGACCUUAGCAUCAAUUCUUCCUGCAUGUAGUCAGUUAGGAGGUAUAACGGCGGGUAAGCAGCUCCAUGGUUUUGCUAUUCGCAACUUUUUGGACAAAAACGUUUUUGUGAGUUCUGCACUAGUAGACAUGUAUGCUAAAUCAGGUGAGAUUCUCUAUGCCGAAAGUGUUUUUUUGAGCUCUUGUGAGAAGAACUCUGUAACAUACACAAAUAUGAUUUUGGGCUAUGGUCAACAUGGGAUGGGGGAGAAAGCUUUAGAACUUUUCUAUUCUCUGCCAGAUCAAGGUGUUAAACCUGAUGCAAUUACCUUUGUAGCAGUCUUGUCUGCCUGCAGCUAUUCUGGGUUGGUUGAAGAAGGCCUUCAAAUAUUUGAAUUAAUGGACAAAGAAUAUGGUAUUCAGCCCUCUCUUGAGCACUAUGCUUGUAUUGUGGACUUGCUAGGAAGAGUUGGGAGGGUGGUUGAAGCGUACAGGUUUCUUCAGGGGCUUGGAGAAGAAGGUAAUAUGUUAGGGAUGUGGGGAUCCCUUCUUGCUGCCUGCAGAAUUCACAGAAAUUUUGACUUAGCAAAAGUUGUUGCUAACAAGUUGCUUGAAUUGGAGGGUGGAGACAGGAUGACAGGUUAUCAUGUUCUGCUUUCUAAUAUAUAUGCAGAGGAAGGAAAUUGGGAGUUUGUAAAUGGUGUGAGAGGAGGACUGCGUGAAAGGGGGUUUGUAAAGGAGGUUGGUUGCAGUUGGAUUGAUAUUUCUGGUUAUACUUGUGGGUUUGUUUCUAGAGAUAGAAGGCAUCCCAAUUGCAAUGAGAUAUAUGAAAUGUUGGACAACUUAUUUAUUAAUAUGAAGGACAUCGGUUAUAGGUGUCAGCUAGAUGCAAUCUAAGAGUGGAAAGACUUCCAGACCAGGGCACUUUUCUAUGAGAGGUCUUACACUCUUACUAGUUACUAGCUGUGAAAUCAUGGAGUAAUUAAUCAGUCACCAACUUGGAAACCACGGUUGGAAUGCUUUUUGGAGCUUGCAAUUGUGUUCUGUGCUCACUUCCUUGCUCCAUCUAAAGGAGGCAUUUGGAUUCCAAAAUCUUAAUCAAAUUGCUUGGUCUUAAUAAUGAAAUCAACUGAAGGAAAGAUCUCCAUGUUUUCUGGGUCUAAGGAAGGAAGAUGUGUGCAACUUUCCUCUGUUUUCAGAGGUUGUCUCCAGUUCUCAGGACAUCACUUUCUAGGCUUGGUGCUUGGCCACUUCACCAAGUGGAACCAGAACUGCAAUGGUAUGCCAUUCCUCAAAUUAGGAUCAUAAUUUCCUUCCAGUCUGAACUAUUUUGCUUCCCUACAAGUUUGGAUGACACAUUUGCUAAAAUUGAUUACAACUUUGUAUAUUGACUAAUAACCAAUAAUUGGAAAUCAUAAAGUGGAAAUCAUAAAGUGUAAAUUUUUAUUUAUCAUUUGGAUGAUGUCAGGUUUUUUAUUGAUUAUUGUUUGGAAA